GACGAACGCUGGCGGCGUGCCUAAUACAUGCAAGUAGAACGCAGUUGCGAACGGGUGAGUAACGCGUAGGUAACUGCCUCAUAGCGGGGGAUAACUAUUGGAAACGAUAGCUAAUACCGCAUAAUGUGAGAUGGACCUGCGUUGUAUUAGUUAGUUGGUGAGGUAAAGGCUCACCAAGGCGACGAUACAUAGCCGACCUGAGAGGUGGAGCGGCCACACUGCGACUGAGACAGGACCCAGACACGUACGGUAGGCAGCAGUGGGGAAUCUUCGGCGAUGGACGGAAGUCUGACCGAGCAACGCCGCGUGAGUGAAGAAGGUUUUCGGAUCGUAAAGCUCUGGUGUUAGAGAAGCGGUAACUAACAAGAAAGGGACGGCUAACUACGUGCCAGCAGCCGCGGUAAUAC
rnacentral:rRNA from 1 species